rnacentral:lncRNA from 1 species
CAUGACCACUGUUGAAUGACCCGUCAACAAAAACAUAUAUAUGAGAAUAUUUAGAAGUAUUGGUCCAAUAACCAGAAGAUGCUGAACUUGUCUUUUCUCUUGAGAGAGGUCCAGAUUAACUGGAAUCAAUUUAAAUAAUUUUUGCCUGUGAAAUGAUAGGCAAUCUGAUUUGAUUGAAAUUCGUUGUUAUUCUGUGUAGAAUAUCCCACAUAGGAGUUUGUUCUAGUGCUUUGGGAUUACCUUAGACAUUCCUUAUGAGUUGUUGGAAAAUUAAGGCCAAAUAAAAAUCCUUUUUGUGUUGUUGGAAAAUUAAGGCCAAAUAUAAAAAUUAUAAUGAGGAUGUUAUUGGCUAGACGAAGAGGAGUCUCUGUUGCUGGAGGUUGGCUGAAUCUGCAGGACAGAGGUGGGCGGAAAGGCAGUGGCAAGCAGACAGCUGGGCUGAGGCUGGCUGAGUGCAGAGGAUAGAGUUUGACGAAAAGGCAAUGGCGUGCCAUGGAAAGGGAGUUGUGGCUAGCUAUGCGUGUGGUGGUUCUGCAUGGGUAUAGGAGGCUAUGUGCGCAGCUGAGCUUGACAAGGGCUGUGUAGGUGCGGUUCUGGCAGCUAGCAGCUGAGUGGCUCCUUCUGGUUGCUUCUGACCGUGUGGGUUGGCGGCUAGAGCUAGCUAUGAAGGUCGGCUUGUGGUGGAGUCUGCAACUGGAAGCUACAUUGUUGGGGUUUGCACAGACGGUUGCUCGACGUGCAACUGGACAGAGCUGUGUGCGAUUGGAGGCAAGGUUGGAGAGUUCUAGAGCUGCAAAUGAAGGAUGGUCUUGGUGUUUGUGCCCUUUCUGUGGUUGUUAGUGGCUGGGUUUUGGUGGCCGGCAAUGAAGGUUUGCCCAUUAGGUUUGUAUUAAUUCGACAAAGAAGACAAAUUAAGGUUUGUGAAGGAGGCCCGAGGUUUUUUUCCUAAAGUCUGGAUACCAUAUGAAGAAUUGUUGAGUAUGUAUUUCAUUGAAUAUCACAAUCCUAUAUAUACAGGUUUUCUAGAACAAAAAGGUAAAUAGACAAUUAAUUAUAUGAGGUGCAUUUUACUUUUAUAUCCUUUAACUUAAUUUAUAGAAGAUACACUUUUUUA